UGGUAAAUUGGCUGCCUGCAACUUGUGCACACAUUGCUUCACCACUAAUUCCUUGGGAUUAAACUCUGACAUUGCAGGACGAUCUCCCAUCCCCUGACCGCAACAGCAUGGACCAAAUAAGUGACAAAGGAAAUAUGGAAUGUGCUUGCCAACCUGGCCUCCGGACAUUAAUGGCAGAGUACUAAAGAGAAGAAAAAGACGUGGCAAAUUUCCUGCUAGAAAUGGCUUCACGGACAAGGCUUACAGAAACCAAGGCUGCCCAAGUGACAUCGGGUACUUUUCCACAGAAGUUUGUGAACACGAUAAAUAGUAGCAACGUAAAUACAUUCACAGGCCUGCUAUCAUUCGAUGUUCUGAAUGCUCGUGUGACGUGCUACACAAAAAUUCAUCCACUUUCAGGACGGCACCAGUUAUGUGUAAAAACAAUUGCAUUGACAUUGGUGAAAUUGAAGCAUAUUUCCACUGCAUUCUUGAGUCACCUUUUUAACUGUUCUCUAACUACAUGUAGCAACAUAAUUGCAGAGACUGCUCAGUUGAUGUGUGAAAUUUUAAAAGUAACUGUGGCUGUGCCACCAAAAGAUGAAUUCCAGUGGCACGUUUGCAUAUUCGGCAUUAGGUGAUUCACCUGAAGUCGUGCCAUGGCUGGCGAUAUUGCAAGUAGCCUGUACUGCACAGAGGCAUUUGUGCGUGUGACCUUGGCUCCAUCAAAGCGUGGCGGCCUUGAGAGUAAGUGCGGUCUUCUGUUUGGAAAUCCAGCAUUUUUUAUGUCACUCAGCCACUUCAUACUUUUCAGACACGGUCGUUGCCAUGUGAUCUACAUGCUGCACUUGUUUGCAUUGGCCAAACCUGCAGACUUCAACUUCAACACACUUUUUGUAAAUUAGCAAUGCACAUUCUUUUGCAACUUGUAUUCUUCAUUGAAAUGCUGAUUUAUACUACGCAUUCUGAUGCAAGUUUUCAUCUUAUGGUAUUCCGAGAUAUUUGCAGUUCACUUAUGAUCUGUGUGCAUAGAGUUGUGGUUAUUCUUCAAUGGCUGUUUGUUGUCCCUUUCCUUACUUGUAUUUUUUCACAAAAUAAACCACAUGCACUCAAUA